rnacentral:rRNA from 1 species
UACCAGCCCCCUGAGUGAUAGGGACGAUUAUUUAGCCUAAAGCGUCCGUAGCCGGCUCAGCAAGUCUUUCGUUAAAUCUGACGACUUAAUCGUCAGACCGCGGUAGAUACUGCUUGGCUAGAGGGCGGGAGAGGUUGACGGUAGUCCUGGGGUAGGGGUGAAAUCCUAUAAUCCUAGGAGGACCACCAAUGGCGAAGGCAGUCAACUAGAACGCGCCUGACGGUGAUGGACGAAAGCUGGGGGAGCGAACCGGAUUAGACACCCGGGUAGUCCCAGCUGUAAACGAUGCGGGCUAGGUGUUGGGGUAGCCACGAGCUGCUCCAGUGCCGCAGAGAAGUCGUUAAGCCCGCCGCUUGGGAAGUACGGCCGCAAGGCUGAAACUUAAAGGAAUUGGCGGGGGAGCACCACAAGGGGUGAAGCCUGCGGUUCAAUUGGAGUCAACGCCGGGAACUUUACCAGGGCUGACAGCAGAGUGAAGGCCAGACUAAAGAUCUUGCUCGACAAGCUGAGAGGUGGUGCAUGGCCGUCGACAGUUCGUGCCGUGAGGUGUCCUGUUAAGUCAGGUAACGAGCGAGACCCUCACCAUUAGUUGCCAGCGGAUCCCAACGGGAUGCCGAGCACACUAAUGGAACUGCCGCCGAUAAGGUGGAGGAAGGAGGGGGCCACGGCAGGUCAGUAUGCCCCGAAUGCCCUGGGCCACACGCGGGCUCCAAUGGUAGAGACAGAGGGUUUCUAACCUCUAAAGUGGAAAGUAAUCCCUAAACUCUAUCGUAGUUGGGAUUGAGGGCUGAAACUCGCCCUCAUGAACAUGGAAUCCCUAGUAAUCGCGCGUCAUCAUCGCGCGGUGAAUACGUCCCCGCUCCU